AAUAUUGGGCAAUGGGCGAAAGCCUGACCCAGCAACGCCGCGUGAGGGAAGAAGGUUUUCGGAUUGUAAACCUCUGUCCUUGGGGACGAAAAAAAUGACGGUACCCAAGGAGGAAGCUCCGGCUAACUACGUGCCAGCAGCCGCGGUAAUACGUAGGGAGCAAGCGUUGUCCGGAAUUACUGGGCGUAAAGGGUGCGUAGGCGGUAAGAUAAGUCAGGUGUGAAAUCCCCGAGCUCAACUCGGGAAUUGCAUUUGAAACUGUCUAACUUGAGUGUGAGAGAGGUAAGUGGAAUUCCUAGUGUAGCGGUGAAGUGCGUAGAUAUUAGGAGGAACACCAGUGGCGAAGGCGACUUACUGGCUCAUAACUGACGCUGAGGCACGAAAGCGUGGGGAGCAAACAGGAUUAGAUACCCUGGUAGUCCACGCCGUA
rnacentral:rRNA from 1 species